AGCGAACGUUGGCGGCGGGCUUUACACAUGCAAGUCGAACGAGAAAGUACCCUUCGGGGUGCGAGUACAGUGGCGCACGGGUGAGUAACACGUGGGUAACCUACCCUUCGGUGCGGGAUAACCCCUCGAAAGGGCUGCUAAUACCGCAUAUGUCGGCAACGGCCUCGGCUGUUACCGGGAAAGGAUGGCCUCUCCUUGGAAUCUAUCGCCGGACGAUGGGCUCGCGGCCCAUCAGCUUGAUGGCGAGGGAACGGAUCACCAUGGCUAAGACGGGUAGCUGGUCUGACAGGAUGAUCAGCCACACUGGGACUGACACACGGCCCACACUCCUACGGGAGGCAGCAGUGGGGAAUAUUGGACAAUGGGCGAAAGCCUGAUCCAGCCACUGAACGUGUGUGAUGAAGGUCUUCGGAUCGUAAAGCACUAAGGCAGAGGGACGAAAAUCCGGGAGAACAAUACCCCGCUGAAUUGACCGCACCUCUUUACCAGGCACCGGCUAA
rnacentral:rRNA from 1 species